rnacentral:rRNA from 1 species
UAGGGAAUCUUCCGCAAUGGACGCAAGUCUGACGGAGCAACGCCGCGUGAGUGAAGAAGGAUUUCGGUUCGUAAAACUCUGUUGUUAGAGAAGAACAGCGCAUAGAGUAACUGUUAUGCGUGUGACGGUAUCUAACCAGAAAGCCACGGCUAACUACGUGCCAGCAGCCGCGGUAAUACGUUGGUGGCAAGCGUUGUCCGGAUUUAUUGGGCGUAAAGCGAGCGCAGGCGGUCAAUUAAGUCUGAUGUGAAAGCCCCCGGCUCAACCGGGGAGGGUCAUUGGAAACUGGUUGACUUGAGUGCAGAAGAGGAGAGUGGAAUUCCAUGUGUAGCGGUGAAAUGCGUAGAUAUAUGGAGGAACACCAGUGGCGAAGGCGACUCUCUGGUCUGUAACUGACGCUGAGGUUCGAAAGCGUGGGUAGCAAACAGG